rfam:Triticum aestivum genome assembly, contig: Triticum_aestivum_CS42_TGACv1_scaffold_329259_4BS
GUACUACUCCCUCCGUCCGGAAAUACUUGUCAUCAAUAUGGAUGAAAAUAGAUGUAUUUAGAACUAAAAUACAUCUAGAUACAUCUAUUUUAAUGAUAAGUAUUUCCGGACGGAGGGAGUAUAAU